CUCUGAAUACAAAGCACAUAAGCAAACAAAUAUAACAGCAUCAGUUAAAUUCUGGUGGAAACUAUGAGGAUUUUUGAAAACUGCAUUUGCACUCGAAACUCUAGUGGCUUCAGAGUUAAAGAAAGCAUGCUGAGAGGUCUAUCAAUGCAAAGGGUCAUCUGUGAAAUCUCCACCUAGAUCUAAGGACCACUGGGCAAACAGCAUGGUGCUAGAUAUAACCAGCUAUUUUCCCCAUGAAGCAUAUCAGGACUCCAAAAAUCUCUGGCAUCCACUCUUUCCUGACAUAGAUCAUGUGGCUUAGGGGAAAACUAACAUCAC